AAAACUUUCAGGAGGAUUGAUAAUGAUUAAUGGUGCUGAGAAAUUUGUUUCAAUCAUCCUGGAAUGGUAAGGUAAUUUUCGGACGCUUUUCUGCUUGUACUUUUCUCCUCUUCCUCUCUGAGCAGUACUUUCACAUUUAAUUUUCAGUUUAUUGCAUCAGACUCAUAAAACUAACUUUUGUAACAUAAAAGUUUAUUUUAAUUAUGCCUAUAUAUCACUGGCAAACGUGAGUCCUAUGAAUACCCAUCUAUACUUUCUGUGCAAUUCUCCUUAGAUGAAUUUGGUUGGAAAACUAUUUUACAUUUGACAGUGCAGAAGUGGUGAAAUUUUUUGAUGGGAGAGCGAACUUUUUAUGCGUAUCUAUUAGAUUGUUUCACCUCUAGUUCAAGAUAACAAUACUUGCAAACAAAGUUUAUUUGCUUUUUUUUUUUUUUUAACAUGGGAAAAGACCACAAAUUACUUUAUAGCAAUGUGACUUGAAUCGACAAAGUGGAGUUUUCCAAACGAUCAAACCCUCUUUAUGUCUGUGACCUUCAUUUGCCAGAAAGUCGGCACAUUUCUUCUCCUUAGAUCAGAUGUAUAUAACGGUAGCUUUUGUGGUUUCCAACGAAUUUUAACGGUCUUCAAUAAUAACCCUAAAGGGUGAUGCUCUGUGUACUCUUUGAUAAGCUUGACAACAAAUAGACAGUUUGUUUCCAUUUUCCACCUCUAAUUCUUUAUACCCUAUUUCUCUUGCUACUGUUGGCCCUUGUUUGAUGUUCCAUGACUUUAUGUGGGGCUUGAAUUUGGCUUCGUAUUACCUGCAUAACUCAAUAUCUACUUUGUUUGUCUCUGGAAAUCCUUCCAAAUGCAGCAUCUCUUGUUUGACUCUUGACAUUGGUGUUAGUGGCAUUCUGUAGAUACGGCAAUGUUUGUAUUAGGAAGUUGUCUAAUUUUAUAAUCAGGUGGCAUGGUGCUAUGUACUCCUUUCGUUAAAGCCACUUCCUGUGCAUUUGCCUAGACACCAUCAUCGCAAAUUUAGCUAAAUAAUAUUGGGAAAACAAAAUAAUAAAAGAAAACUUAUGCAGAAGAAUAGAGCUGAUAUACCCAUAUCUUAUAGUAAUUUUGAAGUGGGUAUUCUAAUUCUUUAUAAAGAUAACACAAUAUGUGUCGUAUUUUGGUUUUGAUGAUUUACAAACAAGAAUGCAAGGGACCUGGUCCUUGCUGUGCUGAUUUAACAAUCAAAGGAAGCUUUGUACGGCUGUAAACUGUACUGUCUGUUUUGGCUAGUGGUGAUGCAGCUGGCGCGCUAACACCUGGACCAAUAGAGUGGCGCUAAGGUCUUACUCUCUCUUAUAAAAGGAAGAUGUGGCAUCAGCAAAACUUAGCUUUUGCAAUCAAAAGUUUACUCUCUGAAGCAAAAGCCUUUUUCAUCAGAUUACUGCUCACUUUCAACAAGGGACCUGAUAGAACAGCAGUUCAGAUUUUGUUGAUUUCUUGAGUUGUAGUCUUUUGUGCUUACCAUUGUAAACCUACUCCUAUGUUAUAAAGGAUUGUAGGUAUCAGUCUUGUCUAGGUCUUAGAUUGAGUCGUGUUAACUAGAGCUAGUUAUCGAUUCAGCUUUGGUUUAGUCAAGAUUUCUUCAUCAUGCCUUAUGUUAUUCUGGGUAGAGUUACCUAGGGAAUCAACUAGAGUUGGUUGAUUUGAAGGGUGCAAUAGGGUUGCUGCACAAAUCUUACUGGAAAUCCUGUGAGAUAGAUUGUGUUUUUCCCUCCCUUGUGCAAGGAGCUUUUCACG
rnacentral:lncRNA from 1 species